AAUUAAACCAUUUGACGACGACGCCCUGAAACCUAGCAUUUUCAUCUUCCACGUGUAUAUACCUGUGGAAGAUGAAAAUGCUAGGUUUCAGGGCGUCGUCGUCAAAU
rnacentral:miRNA from 1 species